CUGCGCCGGUCGUCAGGCAGGCAGCGCCGCGGGCAGCCCCGCGGGCGGAGCUGGAGGGCGGGGCUCGCCCCUGUAGCGCACGUCCGGAUUUGUCUUCGGUGACAGACCUUUCACCUAGAAUUUGUGGAGCAGGCUGAAAUAAACCCUAAAGAAAAAAGUUCUAAGGUUUCAUCUGGUUGAGAAUCCUGGUGGCUUAAUCUGUGGGAUCUCUGAAAGCUCCUAAACGAAGAUAUGGCAGCGGCUCAAGACUCUUGUGGGCAUCAGAAGAGAUGACAUAUGCGAGACUAUUUCAAUUCUUAAGGACCAUACGAGUUUUCUUUAUUAUCAUCUGCACCAAUAGUGUCCCUAUAAAAAGGCUUUGGAUCCUUGAAAAUGAAAAUGAGGUUGUGUAUGGUGUGGUCAAAGUGUCAACGGUAGAUUGGGAAGCAAAUGCGAAAUCUUGCACUGGUCUACCUGUUGUGUUAGUGGUUCUCAAUUUAAUCAGCACCAACAUCUAUAUAUGCUAUCAGCUUUAAAAAAAUACUGUUCUAUAAUAAAAACCAUGGAUAAUAUAACCCAUCUACACACAAUUUAAAAACAAAACAAGAAAAUAUGCCAGUUAUAAUGUAAAAGAGAAACAUUGCAAAAUAGCACAAUAUAUAGUUCAAAAUAUAAAAGCUAAAAUGUGUUCACAGUAGAAAAUACAAAGAAGUAGUUAUUUGCUUGUACACAUAACUGUAAUUGCAAAAGCUGCAAACACUAGGUGUGUUCUAUUGGUUCCUCGAGCAUCAAAGGGCUUAUUGUUGGUAGUAUGAUUUUUCCAAAAUGAUGUACACCUUCUUGGUAAAAGUUCUGACUAUAUCUUCCAUUGUUUUUCACACAGAAGAAUUCUUAGAAAUUUUAGUCCAUAUUAAGACUUCAAAGAAAAAUAGCUUGACAUAUAUAAAAUGGAGUUAGAGUCUAGGCCUUAGACACAUAAGUGUCUGGCAGGACACUGAAAAGUCUGAUAUUGUGGGACAGUAUUUUAUUGUAUAGGUUUGUUGCAUUGCUCAUGUCUAGCAUCCUAAUUACAUGGUACUAUCUCCCUCUCCCAAUGAUUGUGACAACCUAAAAUUGCCUCACAAAUUUCUAAAACAUUCUAAGAGCCAGUAUUGUUGAGAUGCAUUAGGUUAAGAUGUUUUCUGGCCCUGUAUUUGGUGUGCAGUUGGUUUGACUAGAAUAGACAAGGAUUUGGAGGUCUACAUUUUGUGUGGAGAGUUUGAAAAGACAAAAAAUAACAAAGGUGUGAUGGAGUAAAGAGUAAUGAUUUUCAGAACUCAAAAAAUAAAAGUGUCAGGGGGUCUAAGAAGGGAACAAAUAGGUAGAGAAAACUCUAGUUGGCUCCUACACCAAACUGAAGCCCUUCCUUGCUAAGCUUGGAGGUAACAAAAAAUGAAAGCAAAUGAAAUCUAAGGGAUAGCUUGCAAAGAAAAUAAAAAUAUUAAAGUGAAGUAAAUGAAGUAGUAAAAAUCUGAGCAAUGGUCAGAAAAAUAGGUACAAGUACCAUACUGUAGACAGGCUCUUUAUAAAUCCUUUAUUUGGGUGAGUCUGAGAUUAACUUUAUGGCUUUGUAAGAAAGAAUUUGGUUUCAAAAGAGAAAAAUUGGCAGUGGAAGAAUAAGGAAUCUAAAAGGUAGGGAGAAAUGCUGAUUAGAAAAAGUUUAUUCAGAAAGAACAGUGGUAAUGUAUAUUAUACUAUAUAAAAUGAUGUAUUUUGAGUGCAGGCGCCAAAAAAUAAAAUAAAAUAAUGUAUUUUAACUACUACUAUAUAGAAGAUGUAUUAACUACUACUUUGGGUAUAUUUUGGUUGUAUUUGGCAUUUCUGGCAUGUUCAGCUUAUUGGCUGUGCACAUAUCUGACUCAAAUUCCUACCUUUUGAAGUGAACAUUCUAAGGAAGGGAAGAAGACACUUAUGUAAGUAUGAGCCUAGGGGUGACAGUGUUUGAGAGGUGGUCAAGGAAGGUACUGCUAGUGAGCCAAGACAUGAAGUAAGUAAGGGUGUCUUGCAGAUAGCUAGGGAAUGAAGACUCCAGGCAGAGGCGGGAGCAAGAAGCCUGAAGUGACAGUACUCAGGUCUGCCUGGCCUGUUUGAGAACCAGAAGAAGUGAGGGUGAGAGUUGUAGGAGAUGAGGUUUAGGGCAAUUCAGCCACUAGAAGCACUUAGUUUUUCAUCUGAGUAAGACAGGAAGCCAAUGGGGGUUUUGGGCAAAGGAGUAGCAUGAGCUGAUUUACAUAGUAAAAGAACCACUCUGGCUGCUGUGUGACUACUAGGUUGGGCAGAAGCUGGGAGCCUAGGUGGGAGGCUACUGCAGUAAUCCAAGAGGGAAAUGGUGGUGGCUUGGAUUAGGGUGGAAGCAGCAUUAGUGGUAAGAAGUGCCUAGAUCCUGGAUGCAAUCUGAAGGUAGACCCAGAGGAAUCAAACGUCAUCAAGAUUUUUGGCCUGAGUGUCUGGAAAGGUGGAGUUGUCAUUUACCAAGAGCAGAUUAGAGAUGACCAUGUCAACGAGAAAGGGACAGCAGCCCAGUUUGGGAUAUGUUAAAUUCCAGGUGCCUGUUGGAUAUUCAAGUGACAAUGUUGAGAAGCCAAGUGAAUAUACAAGUGUCAAAUUAAGGGGAGUCAUUUGGACUAGAGAGUUUUUAAGUUAGGAGUCAUUAGCAUAUCGAUGGUAUUUAAAGCCAUGAGGCUUACAUUACAGAAAUGUCCCUGAAAUGUGUGUAAAAUAUUUGUUUUUGUAAUUUGCCUAUUUUAAAGGCAAUAGGAGAACUUGCUAUUUUCAAGUCUGCCAUGAAUCCUUUUUAAAGAAAAAUACACAUUGUCUUUUGAGUAAAUCUCUCAGUCCUUUAUAGAAUUACUUCAUGUCAAGUGCAAUUAUAUCAGGUAAACAGAGUCAUAACUGAAGCAUUCUAUUCAUUUAUUCUUGCUGCUGUAACAACUAACCACAGAUUUAGUGGCUUAAAACCAUAGAAACUGACUCUCACAAUCUUGUCUAGAAAUCUGGAUCGAUACCACUGGUUCAAAAUCAAGGUAUGACAGGGCCAUGCUCCUUCCUGAGGCUCUGGGAGACAAUCUGAUCCUUGCCUCUUCCUGCUUCUGGUGGCUGUGGGCAUUCCUUGGUUUGUGGCCUCAUCUGAUCUCUGCUUUCAGGGCCACAUUGCCUUCUUGUCUCUGGGCGUGUCAAAUCUUCUGCCUUUCUCUUAUAGAGUCUCUUAUGAUUCUUUUUAGGCCUCACCCAGAUAAUCCAGGAUAAUCUCUUCAUUUUAAAUCCUUAAUCACAUCUGCAAAGACUUUUUCCAAUAAGGUAGUAUUUUCAGGUUUCAGGGUGUCAGCCUAACUACAGUCACCUAAGCAAUUUUUAAACUGGGGUUUUGCUAUAAAUGAUUACAUAUGCUUAAUAAGCAAACAUAAUUCCCUCUUUUUCUCUCUGGUAACAUUUAAAAUGUUCCACAAAAAGUCAAAUUACAUGACAUCUUUAUUGCAUCACAUGGCUAAGAAAUACCAUUUCCAGAUCUGUGUCGAUAUCAUUUUAUGAUACUAGGUUAAAUAUGCUUUGGCAUUAAAGAACUACCAUAAACUAUGGUUACACAGUUGUCUCCUCUUAAACGACCCUCCAGAUCAAGGACAAUGUUUUCUUUCAUCACCAAUAUUUCUCUCCAGUGAGUAUAGGUUAUGUAUACUCUCAUAAUCCAUCUCAACACAUUCCAACGUUUUGAUAAUUUUUGUAAAAAUAAGUAAUGCAAUAAAAAGUAAAGCUUUGAUAAACAGUAUUAGCUUAUUUAUUUCAAAAAAGACAAAACUCUAAUAACUUUAGCCACAGAACCUCCAGGUUUUUUUCUAUGUGAAGCAAUUUGUACCAUAUCGUCGUCAGUUAAUUUUUAUUUUAUGAGCAUUUACUGCACGGUACAAGCAAUUACACGUCAAAGGCAUUCUCCGUAUUUAAUAGAGGUCUGAUAUAUGGGUCUACACAAAAGAAUUGCCUUGAGACUUGCUUUGUGUAGUUUUAUUAAGAAUGAAUUUAACAUUUGCUUAGCACCUAGCAAGGACAGACAUA